rnacentral:rRNA from 1 species
AGAGUUUGAUCCUGGCUCAGAUUGAACGCUGGCGGUAUGCUUAACACAUGCAAGUCGAACGGUAACAGGCAAAAGCUUGCUUUUGCGCUGACGAGUGGCGGACGGGUGAGUAACGCGUAGGAAUCUGCCUAGUAGUGGGGGACAACCUGGUGAAAACCAGGCUAAUACCGCAUACGCCCUACGGGGGAAAGCGGGGGAUCUUCGGACCUCGCGCUAUUAGAUGAGCCUGCGUUAGAUUAGCUAGUUGGUGGGGUAAAGGCCUACCAAGGCGACGAUCUAUAGCUGGUCUGAGAGGACGAUCAGCCACACUGGGACUGAGACACGGCCCAGACUCCUACGGGAGGCAGCAGUGGGGAAUAUUGGACAAUGGGCGAAAGCCUGAUCCAGCAAUACCGCGUGUGUGAAGAAGGCCUGAGGGUUGUAAAGCACUUUCAAUUGGGAGGAAAAGCUAAUUAUUAAUAGUAAUUAGCCUUGACGUUACCUUUAGAAGAAGCACCGGCUAACUCCGUGCCAGCAGCCGCGGUGAUACGGAGGGUGCAAGCGUUAAUCGGAAUUACUGGGCGUAAAGCGCGCGUAGGUGGUUAUUUAAGUCAGAUGUGAAAGCCCCGGGCUUAACCUGGGAACUGCAUUUGAUACUGGAUAACUAGAGUUUGGUGGAGGGGAGUGGAAUUUCCUGUGUAGCGGUGAAAUGCGUAGAUAUAGGAAGGAACACCAGUGGCGAAGGCGGCUCUCUGGACCAAAACUGACGCUGAGGUGCGAAAGCGUGGGUAGCAAACGGGAUUAGAUACCCCGGUAGUCCACGCCGUAAACGAUGUCAACUAGCCGUUGGGCCUAUUAAAGGCUUAGUGGCGGAGCUAACGUAUUAAGUUGACCGCCUGGGGAGUACGGCCGCAAGGCUAAA